rnacentral:rRNA from 1 species
UACAGGGGGAGCAAGCGUUGUUCGGAUUUACUGGGCGUAAAGGGCGCGUAGGCGGUCAGCACAAGUCAGUUGUGAAAUCUCCGGGCUUAACUCGGAAAGGUCAACUGAUACUGUGCGACUAGAGUGCAGAAGGGGCAACUGGAAUUCUCGGUGUAGCGGUGAAAUGCGUAGAUAUCGAGAGGAACACCUGCGGCGAAGGCGGGUUGCUGGGCUGACACUGACGCUGAGGCGCGAAAGCCAGGGGAGCGAACGGG